rnacentral:sRNA from 1 species
UGGACCUGAAUGAGGGAGUUUCUCUAACAGAAUGUUAAUUGAUAUAAAUUAAUAAAAUAAUAAAAAUUUUGUAGUUACAAUUACGUAUGCGCAAAAUGACAAAUAUGUAAACAGAUGAAAGUAAAUAGACCCAUGUCCUGUAACCGGCACUGUACCAGAAUCAGGGAUCAGGGGGAAAAAAAGCAAGAAAGAAAGAAAUAGGAAAAGAAAAGAAAAAAGAAAAAAGAAACAGAAAAUCACAAUUCAAAAUUUUGAGAUAAAUGUUCCUUCAAAACAUCAUCCCACCAAUGAAGGCCGGAAUCACAACCAAGCAAACCGCAAGUCCCAACUUCGUCGGUCCCGACAUAUACAGGGAAGCGGCUGUGCCUGGACUUUGCGUCG